AAGAAGUGGGAGCAGGGAAGGACAGACAUGAACGGUGAAUGAAAGGCUGAGGGAGAAGCCUCGAAGAAGAGAGGAGUGGGGUAGAGCGAUGAGGGAGGAGAGGGAAUCACUCAAUCGUUUCUGCGGAAGGAAAGAGAUUCAAAUGGCCCAUCUAUCCACAAGAGACUUACAGAACAUGAUCCAUGGAUUGAAUCCAGUGCUAAGAGCAACUAUGAAUAUUGCAUGGAGUAGGAGAAGGCCGCAGGCUGUACACCUCCAACUUCUCAUCAAGUUCCCAUGUGCCAAGCGUGUGAGUGCAUGACUCACCUCCAGUGAUGGUCUGGGAUCGCGGAAAAAGAAAGAUGGGGUUGGAGGUUAAUCUGAGGUUGGUACAGUUCAUCAGAUUCCUGAAGUGAUGUGGCAGCAGCAGGAACAGGCAGGUGGAGCCUGGAGAGCCGAACAGAGAGCUGCAGCAUCAACAACAAAGAAUAAGGGUAACUAUCCAGACUUUUUGGAAAAGCUAAACAAAAAAAAAUGAGACAUUUCUGACAGCUGGAGGCAUCAUUAAUGUUCUACCAGCUACUUUGUUUCCAUUUAAAAAGCAAAAAACGGAAGGCUGUUAGCUGUGUUUUGUCUGCUACCUCAGCCUUUUGCAAAUAAGUUCAUGACAGGAAGGCAAUAUUAAUGACUGGAUAGAUAUACACAUCAGUAAUGACAAUGUCCCCAGUAUGUGGACUACAAUAUACAUACUUUAUACUAUAAAUAUAUUGUAAUAUUGUUUGUGUUUAUUUUAGCAAUUUCAACCCUGAGAGAUCCAGCAAGAAAAAAAAGUGUUUUCAGUUUAGGACUAACAGACAGAAAUUGAACAAAGGAGAAAAAGACAAAGACUAAAGUAUAAAGCUGAACUCAUUUUGAGCCACAGCAACAACAGUUAGUCCACCACUUUAACCUGACAGUGACUUAUCUACUGACACUAAUUGGCAAUGUGCUGACUUUUUCCUAUAGCAACACCUUGAUGUGGAAAUCCUUGUCUUUGAGUGAAAUGUUCCAAAAUGUCACUUGUCCAGUACAUUGUUUUAUGACCAAGUAUCUGCUGAACCGAUGACAUUCCCAAAAGCUAAGAUAGUGAACACGGUAAGCUUCUCAUCUUAGCAUGUUAGCAUUAUCAGUGUUAGCAUGCUAGUAUGUCAAGAAUAGCAUUUAGCCUUACAGAGCUGCUAGCACGACUGUAGACCUUUGUUUGCUAAAUAAUCACUUAAAGACAAGAGGAGAAGUCAAUUAUUAGGGCUCCAUUAGAAUAUAAGCAGUACAGCGUGAGCAGAAAAACCUCCUGGAGAAUUAACCUGUUGGUAAAAACGUGACUCAAACACUGUCAGCUUUGUGUGGCAUUUUGUCAUAAGGGCAUGUGGUGUUGACAGUGACGGCAGAAAAUGCAAAAAGCCAUUCAGAUUAAGAAUGCUAAGCCCCUGGAGGCACAGCCUCUUCUGCAUCCAUAUGAAAAGACCCAGAGUGAGACUUGGCAUACGCUCUGUUGGAUUAUGAGGGGAAAUGUCUUCUAUCCAAAAAAUGAUUACAGCACCUCUUAGCCAAUGUGCAUGCAAAGAGAAAACUAAAUGAAUGAAUAAUCAUGGCAUGGAGAAACCAGAAGGAAGGUGAGGUAGAAGGAGGAGAUUGAAGAGCUCGCAAAAUAGGUAUUUAAAGUCUAACAUUCAUGAA